rnacentral:rRNA from 1 species
GAUGAACGCUGGCGGCGUGCCUAACACAUGCAAGUCGAGCGAACGGACGAGAAGCUUGCUUCUCUGAUGUUAGCGGCGGACGGGUGAGUAACACGUGGAUAACCUACCUAUAAGACUGGGAUAACUUCGGGAAACCGUAGCUCAUACCGGAUAAUAUUUUGAACCGCAUGGUUCAAAAGUGAAAGACGGCCUUGCUGUCACUUAUAGAUGGAUCCGCGCUGCAUUAGCUAGUUGGUAAGGUAACGGCGUACCAAGGCAACGAUGCAUAGCUGACCUGAGAGGACGAUCAGCGACAUUGGGACUGGCACACGGACCAGAUGCCUGCGGGAGGCAGCAGGAGGGAAGUUUCGACAAUGGGGGAAGGCCUGAGGCAGCAAUGCCGAGUGCGGGAAGAAGGCCUUCGGAUUGGAAGCUGCUUUUUGUAGGAAAGAAAAGGUGUCUGCGAAUGUCGGCCGCUUUUGACGGUACCUAUAGAAUAAGCAGCGGCUAACUACGGG